GAUGAACGCUGGCGGCGUGCUUAACACAUGCAAGUCGAACGGAAAGGCCGAAGCUUGCUUCGGUACUCGAGUGGCGAACGGGUGAGUAACACGUGGGUGAUCUGCCCUGUACUUCGGGAUAAGCUUGGGAAACUGGGUCUAAUACCGGAUAUGACGAUCUCUUGGAUGGGGUUGUGGAAAGCUUUUGCGGUAUGGGAUGAGCUCGCGGCCGAUCAGCUUGUUGGUGGGGUAAUGGCCUACCAAGGCGUCGACGGGUAGCCGGCCUGAGAGGGUGUACGGCCACAUUGGGACUGAGCUACGGCCCAGACUCCUACGGGAGGCAGCAGUGGGGAAUAUUGCACAAUGGGCGCACGCCUGAUGCAGCGACGCCGCGUGGGGGAUGACGGCCUUCGGGUUGUAAACUCCUUUCGCAAUCGACGAAGCCUUUUGGUGACGGUAGGUUGAGAAGAAGCACCGGCUAACUACGUG
rnacentral:rRNA from 1 species